rnacentral:lncRNA from 1 species
CUCACUGUGUCAGGCAGGCAUCUCUGGAUCCAGCUGGUUUUUGUUUUGCUGAGGCUCGGCUUCUUCCUGGAACUUUUUGAAACAACACUCAAGGGUCUCAAAUGGCUGACAUGAUGGUCUGUGACCUGAAAGUUGUUGAAUAGUUGGAGUGUUCUGCAUUCAUGUGGAAGAGGCUAAAGGAUGUUUGAUGAAGCACUAUGGGCUGCCCUGGAAGAGGACUGAAGAAGCAGCUGCAGGGAAUGAAUGCUUCAAGACCACAGUGCUCUCCUGCCUUGGAAACACCUUCGCCUUCCUCCGCUUCUCUUUGGCUACCAUGGUCACCCUCCACACUGCUUUCCUCAACUCUUGGGCAGGCUGGUCUCAAACUCCUGACCUCAUGUGGUCCUCCUGCUUCAACCUCCCAAAGUGCUGGGAUUAUAGGCAUGAGCCACUGCACCUGGCCCGAUUCUUUAUAUUUGUAAAAAGCGUAAUGUACUUCAAUAUAUUCAAAAUUAGACUAUUAUUUAGAAGUAUAUCAAUUUGCAGCCAGGGCAGUGGCUUACGCCUGUCCUUUACACAUAUAAGAUGGUAAUACACGGCCGGGCACAGUGGCUUGUGCCUGUAAUCCCAGUACUUUGGAAGGCCGAGGUGGGUGGAUCACCUGAGGUCAGGAGUUCGAGACCAGACUGGCCAACAUGGAGAAACCCCGUCUCUACUAAAAAUACAAAAAUUAGCCAGGUGUGGUGGUGGGCUCCUGUAAUCCCAGCUACUUGGGUGGCUGAGGCAGGAGAAUCCCUUGAACCUGCGAGGUAGAGGUUGCAGUGAGCCGAAAUUGCACCAUUGCACUCUAGCCUGGGCAACAAGAGC